rnacentral:rRNA from 1 species
AGUGAACGCUGGCGGUAGGCCUAACACAUGCAAGUCGAACGGCAGCACAGUAAGAGCUUGCUCUUACGGGUGGCGAGUGGCGGACGGGUGAGGAAUACAUCGGAAUCUACUUUUUCGUGGGGGAUAACGUAGGGAAACUUACGCUAAUACCGCAUACGACCUACGGGUGAAAGCAGGGGAUCUUCGGACCUUGCGCGAUUGAAUGAGCCGACGUCGGAUUAGCUAGUUGGCGGGGUAAAGGCCCACCAAGGCGACGAUCCGUAGCUGGUCUGAGAGGAUGAUCGGCCACACUGGAACUGAGACACGGUCCAGACUCCUACGGGAGGCAGCAGUGGGGAAUAUUGGACAAUGGGCGCAAGCCUGAUCCAGCCAUACCGCGUGGGUGAAGAAGGCCUUCGGGUUGUAAAACCCUUUUAUUGGGAAAGAAAAACUGUGGGAUUAAACCCCCCCGUUCUGACGGUACCCAAAGAAUAAGCCACGGCUAACUUCGUG